rnacentral:rRNA from 1 species
GACGAACGCUGGCGGCGUGCUUAACACAUGCAAGUCGAACGGAAAGGCCCUGCUUUUGUGGCUUUCUCGAUUGGCGAACGGGUGAGUAACACGUGAGUAACCUGCCCUUUACUUUGUGAUAACUUUAGGAAACUGGGGCUAAUACCGGAUAGGAGCUCUUGCUGCAUUGUGUUGGUUGGAAAGUUUCGGCUGUUGGGGAUCGACUCGCUGCUUAUCAGCUUGUUUGUGAGGUAGUGGCUUACCAAGGCUUUGACGGGUAGUCGGCCUGGGAGGGUUACCGGCAACAUUGGGACUGAGGUAGGGACCAGAAUCCAAGGGGAGGCAGCAGUCGGGAGUAUUGAACAAUGGGCGGAAGCAUGAUGAAGAAACGCGGCGUGCGGGAUGAUGGUCUUUGGGUUGUAAACAGAUUUGGCAUGUGAAGAAGAGUGAGUGACGGUAAUGAGUAAAGAAGCACCGGCUAACUACGUG